rnacentral:rRNA from 1 species
GGGGGGGUUCGGAUUAUUGGGCGUAAGAGCUCGUAGGCGGUUUGUCGCGUCUGCCGUGAAAGUCCGGGGCUCAACUCCGGAUCUGCGGUGGGUACGGGCAGACUAGAGUGAUGUAGGGGAGACUGGAAUUCCUGGUGUAGCGGUGAAAUGCGCAGAUAUCAGGAGGAACACCGAUGGCGAAGGCAGGUCUCUGGGCAUUAACUGACGCUGAGGAGCGAAAGCAUGGGGAGCGAACAGGAUUAGAUACCCUGGUAGUCCAUGCCGUAAACGUUGGGCACUAGGUGUGGGGGACAUUCCACGUUUUCCGCGCCGUAGCUAACGCAUUAAGUGCCCCGCCUGGGGAGUACGGCCGCAAGGCUAAAACUCAAAGGAAUUGACGGGGGCCCGCACAAGCGGCGGAGCAUGCGGAUUAAUUCGAUGCAACGCGAAGAACCUUACCAAGGCUUGACAUGAACCGGUAAGACCUGGAAACAGGUCCCCCACUUGUGGCCGGUUUACAGGUGGUGCAUGGUUGUCGUCAGCUCGUGUCGUGAGAUGUUGGGUUAAGUCCCGCAACGAGCGCAACCCUCGUUCCAUGUUGCCAGCGCGUUAUGGCGGGGACUCAUGGGAGACUGCCGGGGUCAACUCGGAGGAAGGUGGGGACGACGUCAAAUCAUCAUGCCCCUUAUGUCUUGGGCUUCACGCAUGCUACAAUGGCCGGUACAAAGGGUUGCGAUACUGUGAGGUGGAGCUAAUCCCAAAAAGCCGGUCUCAGUUCGGAUUGGGGUCUGCAACUCGACCCCAUGAAGUCGGAGUCGCUAGUAAUCGCAGAUCAGCAACGCUGCGGUGAAUACGUUCCCGGGCCUUGUACACACCGCCCGUCAAGUCACGAAAGUUGGUAACACCCGAAGCCGGUGGCCUAACCCCUUGUGGGAGGGAGCUGUCGAAGGUGGGACUGGCGAUUGGGACUAAGUCGUAACAAGGUAACCAGACCUGUCUGCC